CGCAUAUACAUGUAACAAGCAAAGGUAUGUGUGGAAUUUUUAAUGAGAAAGUGAUUUAAAUUGUUUGGAAAUAGUGUUCCGCUACACCAUAAAACUUGUUUAAUUUCUUCAUGUAGUUAAUUCAACUUUAAAAGAUACACGUAGUUUGUCUGAUGUACAUUUGUUUACUUUGCUAGACUGAUAAGAUUAAUAUUUUACUGGGAUUCACAGGUGUCGCCAAACACAAAAUGGCUUCCAUUGCGUGUCCUCUGGAUAAAGCCGAAUGGAAGGACAGAUCGAGGCACUGCGUGUCCAACGAACAGAGCUACCACUGCCUGGGGGACGAGUAUGGGAAUCUAGUCGACGCCUGUGUCGACCCAGUGUGGAUACAACCAGGCCAAACAUCGAAGGGCACUGCCCGGUGUUUAAGAGCGAGGAACACCGAGUGGAAUCGGUCGUCUGCCAACCUUCGGAGUACAUCUGCCCUGACGCUGUAUACCAAUCUAACCAGGUCUUUCUAUACCCUGCUUGUAGAAUGAACACACAGACAAGCAAUAAACCACCACCGCCACCUUACACUGUGGCCAUGAGUAACCAGUCCACCACCCCUGCCCCCGUGCCCGCGGAGGAGCCGGCAUCCUGUGGACCAGCAUGCAUUGGGAUCGCUGUCGCCGUACCCAUCGUAUUGAUACUGCUGGGGGUGUUCAUUGUUUUAUUCCUCAUCAAACGGAGGUCAGCCUCUAGGGGCGGACAAAAGAAACCGUUACCUAACAUACUGCAGCGAUUUCAGAAAAGUGACAAACAAGAUGGCACACAAAUCCAACUUGAAAGCGAAGAACAGAAGAAGAAACUAUUGGAUGUUAAACAGAAGAAACAAGACAUGAAUAAUAGAGAUGAUCUGAAUCCGUUCUUGGAUGAUAUGAUGGACGAGGAUAACGAAGAGACAGGUCAAUGGGACCUCUUCCUGAAAAGCUUAAAUUUGAGGGUUGACAAGCUGUACAAGCCUCCAAGCGCCGAGAAUCUUGGAACCCGCCUACGCUCUCUGGAAGCCAUGUCGAUAGUUGGCAAAUGGGGAAGCGGUCGAACAACUCUGGCAAAGCAAGCCAUUCUGGAGUGUGCUUUAAAUUUCGUCAACAGCACCUGCAAAUUUACAACAAUUGACAGAGUUACAGACUGGAAGAAAGGUGUGCAUGAUGGCUGUGUGAGUUUCAUUUACCUACCUGACUGUAUCAAAGAGUGGUACACACCAAGCCAUGUGGAAGACCUAGCAAAAAGUUUAACAAGUUUGUUUGUUGAAUCUCGUGGUAAAUGUUUUGUAAUUUUGGGUGUCAGGGACAUCGUUUGGGAAAAGUUUAAACACGUUUUAUCACAGUGUGAUAUUUUCAAAGAAGAAAGGCUAAAUUUUAUGCAAGACAAAGAAAAUAUCUCUUCAAAGGACUAUAGAGAGAUAUUGCAUAAACAGCUUCAUGCAAAUAAUGCAAUCGUAGAUGUCUCCGAAGAUAUACAAGUUGAUGACAAAUCUAAGAAAGCUACUCUCGGCUCCAAAAACGCAGAACUUCUUGUUGCCAAAGAGAAUAGUGUCAUAGGAUUACCUGAACUUAUGGCCCUCUCAAGUAAAAAUCGUCGAAUUUUAAGUAACGUUGCGAGAUUUUGUGCGGAACCUUUAAGUGUUAUCAAAGAUGACUUGAAACAAAUGUCGGAAUCUCCGAAGAUUUCAGAAAAGCACAAGUUUGUUGUGCUAACCUAUGCAAUGAUUCAUAACGGGAGAUUCAGUUUGCAAAAACUGAAUGAGAAUAUGCUGAGGUCAAUUCGAACCAUUUUUGCCGUUUUUAGUCCUCCUGAUGACUACUUUGAGGAUGCAGUUGACAAACUAAUGGAAGAGUAUCUUGAAAUUAGCACAGACAAAGCAACGCAUUAUAUACAACAUGAAAUCAUAACGCGCAUUCUCUUUGAGAUUGUUGCAGAGAGUAAGAUAGAAUUUCUUAUUCAGAAUUGCGACUCAAGGCUUCUACUGAACUGUAUCCGUCCUGCCACGUUUACCUUUUCUUCCAUCUUUGGCAAACUGAACAAGGAACUGGUGGUGGGAAUUGAACCAGGCAACCAUCAAGCCCUGUGUGAAAGAUUUAAGCAUAUAGAGAGUGGGGGCGAAAACGAGGUCCGGAAACACGUGAUUAUUGAAGAUGCAGCAUUUCAGAGACUCAUGAUGUAGUUUCAAAAUUAUUUCCUCUAUUUAUAUCUUUUUUACUUUUACAUAACGUUUAAAUCGAUAUAUAGUUUAAGAUAUCAGUGUUCAUUUACUUUGAAGUAUCUGAUGUAAAUUAAACAGUUAUAUCUUUUUAUAUAGCAGCAUCUAUGAAUAUAAGUCAGUAAUCAAUAUACGCUACUUUGCCAAAUAAAGUUUUGUACACAAAACAAAAUCAAUACUCAUUAAACGAUAUUCUUACUUUCGUAAAAUCUUGUAUUUUCUGUUAUGUCCUAACUUUUGUCCGCAACAAGAUAAAUAAAAAAAAACAAGUUAAUAUCUCUAAUUAAAACUAAAUAAACAACACUGUGUUACUGACUGUCAAAACUUACACUGAAUGUGAAGUAUAGGUGAUUGAAGUUUACCUUCAACGUUGCCUUUUACAGCAUUCGACAUGUACAUUAAAUGAAAAAUGGGGGAAUAUAGUAUGUUUAGAUAUAUUUGAAAUCUCAAAGAAUGUUUAUUAGCAGGUGCUCGAAGAUGGAG
rnacentral:misc_RNA from 1 species